rnacentral:rRNA from 1 species
AUUGAACGCUGGCGGCAUGCCUUACACAUGCAAGUCGAACGGCAGCAUAGGAGCUUGCUCCUGAUGGCGAGUGGCGAACGGGUGAGUAAUAUAUCGGAACGUGCCCUAGAGUGGGGGAUAACUAGUCGAAAGACUAGCUAAUACCGCAUACGAUCUACGGAUGAAAGUGGGGGAUCGCAAGACCUCAUGCUCCUGGAGCGGCCGAUAUCUGAUUAGCUAGUUGGUGGGGUAAAAGCUCACCAAGGCGACGAUCAGUAGCUGGUCUGAGAGGACGACCAGCCACACUGGGACUGAGACACGGCCCAGACUCCUACGGGAGGCCGCAGUGGGGAAUUUUGGACAAUGGGGGCAACCCUGAUCCAGCAAUGCCGCGUGAGUGAAGAAGGCCUUCGGGUUGUAAAGCUCUUUUGUCAGGGAAGAAACGGUUCUGGAUAAUACCUGGGACUAAUGACGGUACCUGAAGAAUAAGCACCGGCUAACUACGUGCCAGCAGCCGCGGUAACAC